AAAAAAGUAAAAAAAAAAAUGCAGUGUUCAUUUAUUUGUUUUGAGAAAUAGAUAGCAAGCUAUCCGCUUCAUCCAUUAAGUUAGAUGAACUGAAUAUAUAAGUUGGAAGCAACUUAGGCCUCCGAAAACCCGACAAAAAGGCAAAAAUAGAAAUUAAAAAACAAAAGGAGUAAAGUUAACAAAAGAGAGUGGAACAGAGGAAGGGGUACAGAAGAGACAUUAGAGACAUCAGAGCGUUGUGGUCCAAUUGCUGAUUAGUUGUUUGAC
rnacentral:lncRNA from 1 species